UAUCCCAGGGGUAUCGAUCACAUGAUAACAUGUUUUUUUGCGUAGGUUUUUAUCCUAUGGGUAUUGAUCAUAUGAUAACAUGUUUAGGAAUGUGACGUAUAGGACAAGAUAAUUUAUGGGUAACUUUUCUGGGUAGCUUUUCGGAAUGCCUGUUUGGAGAGGGGAAGGCGAUAGGUUUCUGGGGUGCAAAACCGGGUAGCUUAGGGGUCACGCUUCCCAGGCGGUUUUGCUUUUUGAAACUUUCCCUCCAAGGCAAGCAUUAUCCUGACCCUCCUGACACACAAAUCCCGAGCAAUCGGGGAUCCGUUGGGAACAUAGGCGCGUGAUCACAGCAUCGCGUGGCCUCACGCACCGCGGGCUGAGAUUACCUCAGCCCGUGUACGAAAAUCAUUUCACGCGCUAGAUUCCCUUUUCUAUUUUUAGGUCGCCUAUCUAAACUUUCUUCAUCUUUGUUCGCUAGGCGACCAGAUGGGGCCCAGGAAGAGCAUGCCCAAACAGAGCGCUGCCAGCUCGUCAUCCCAGCAGGCCAGCAAGGGGAAAGAGAUAGUUGCUGAAUCCCCAAUCCCCCACUUUGGUCCCACCGUGGAGAAAGAGGUCGAGGUGGGACCUGACGCCUUCUUCGAGGCAGAGAGGAUAGUCUCGAAGGUUACGACUCAAGGGAAGGUCAACAAGAUCUUGCUGUCCCAUAACAUCAAAAUUGGGAAAGGCGCUCUUGUUGCCCUACCUCCCUUCGAGGGCGAGAGGAGCUGCAUGCCCCUCGACAAGGAGUUCGUAGCCUGGAGCGACGAAAACCUCAAGGCCGGGGCCUUCCUUCCUUUGGACCAGUACUUCGCGGACUUUCUGAACUACGUGAGGCUGGCUCCUUUCCAACUGCCCCCUAACUCCUACCGUCUGCUGGCGGGGCUGAGGUACCUCUUCCUGAAGCAUGAAUGGGAGGUCCCUACACUAGCGGACAUCCUUUAUUUUUUCUGCCUCAAAGCUAGCCCGGAUCAACGAGGGCGAGGCGACGGGUUCUACUACCUGACCCACUUUCCCAACUCUGCUGUAGUCAUCGAGCUGCCCAGCCACCCCAACGACUUCAAGGACCAGUUCUUUAUGUCGACGGGGUUUCGCAACUACAAUCACCACUACUUCAAUCGUCCUCGUAAGUUCUUUAUAUCCUCAGCUCACAAAAUCGUCACUGAUUUGUUUCUUUCCAUGUGUAUUGACUUGAAUACCAUCGUGCAGCCAUUUUUGCGAGGACGUCCAAAUUGGUGACCCUCGGGGGUCAAUAUGAGACCUUGGUGGGGCUCCCACCAAGCGAAAAAGACUACCGCCAGCUCGUGUCUGAUGAGACGAUGCUGGUGUGUAAGUUAAUUUCUCCAGGCCAGACCCUGCCCUUGAGGAGGUCACGGGCCAUCCCAGUAGCUCGCGAGUUGGCACCCAUUCCCGAGGGGGGUGCUGCGGUGAAUGACGAGAAGGACGAGGAAGACGAGGUGCCGCUCGUGCACCGGAAGCGGCCCCUCGAGGUUGUUCAGGAUCCUGACGCAGAUCGGAUCCAAUCCAAGGCAGCAACUGGCCCCUUCGGCCAAGGUAACCCAUACCUGUUUAGGGACUUAAACAGGGCUGCCGUAGACCUUUGGCUCACUAGGUUUAACCCAAGCCAGCUCGUACAUCGUCACCAAGAUGACCCAGACCUUAACAUAACCCUACUCCAGUGUGUAGAUCAAUUGGUGCUACCCUAUGACACGAGCCGCCCUAGGGGCACUGUAGCAGUAGACAACACCCUGACUUUUAGGUCAGCCUUUUUUGAGGAGUACGGGACCAACCUUAGGUCGUGGCCCUCCCAUCUGGAGGGUGUAGUCGCUCCGGGGCUUAGGCAGUAUGUAGAGGAGUCCAGUCAUGAGGCUGAUCCGGACCCCGAGCCCCCUCUCAUUUGCGAAGUUAUAAACCUAGCGUCUCCCAUAGAAGCUCUGCAGUCGGAGGUCGUGGCAAUAGAUUCCUCCUCCAGCUCAGAGGGUGAAGAGAUGGCACAGCCGGAGACAACAUCCUGCGGUCCAUCUUCCAGGGGGGGAAUCCUCCCUCCAGAUCAUCCGAGCCACUGGUCAAGAAGCCCCGGUUUACCAAGAAGACUCCUCCCGGGCCUGUCUCCAAGUCUCCCGCUAAGGGGAGGAGCCAGGGCCCUGCAAUAGUGGAGAACAUGCCUCCACCUCCUCCGCGACCUCCUGUCCCUGCUCAGGGUCAGGAGGCACCAACUGGAACCCCGCCAGCUCCCACUCCCACCGUGCGUAUACCGGUUAACACUCAGGCUCUGGAGAAACUCCCCGAGGCCUUCCGAGGAACGGUCUACGAGACCGCGAGCUGUACGGUGGAGCAUUACUACAACGCCACCCCGAGGGACUUGCGGGAGAUCGAGACGAGGAGCCCCGAGAAUGUCAUGGAGUCUUCGCUGGGGAUGAACAUCACGGCGACUUUGGCUCUACACCGCAGCAUAGCUCAGUCCAGGGCUAGGUUUGACGAGAUCAAGGGCGAGUUCCAGACUGCUCAGGCCGCUCUCACGUCUGCACUACAGCAAGAGCGAGAUGCCAAGGCUGCCCUGACGACUGUCAAGGAAAGCGAAAAGGUCGCACAGGUCGCACUGGCCGCUGCAAAGGCCGAUCUGGAAGCCGCAUAGGGCGCCUUGGCCACGGAGAAAACUGAUCUUGAGGCUGCACAGGCUGUCUUGGCCGCUGCGAAGGCCGAGCUUGAGGAAGCCAAGGCCACCCUUGUUGCAGAGAGGGCAUCUUCCAGCUCCUGCAUGGAAUCCAUGCUCUAUCAUUGCUGGGCCUUCAACCAGGAUGGCGAUUUCUCCUUCCUGGCGCCAGAGGUGUGGGAGCCCUUCCUCGAGAAGUUCAAGGCUCGUCUUCAACAGGAGGCACCCUCUGAGAUCGGGGAGACUUCCGCUGCAGGCGAGCAGGAGACCGAAGGGGUGACCUCAAUGGAACGGGCUGGGGGGGCCUAGAAUUUUUAUUUUUAUUUAUUUGUAAUCUUUUACCACGAGGUUUUUCUCCUCGAGACAAUUGGUUUUCCUGAGUUUCAUUUUAAUCUAUUUUUACCAUUAUUGUUAUUUACUUUUAGCGCAUUUGGUAAAAACUUAGUUUGUGUUAAUUUAUUAUUGAUAUUUCGUGCUUUUUUAGAAAAACA